CUGAAGUGGUUUGAAGAUGUUGCUGGCUUCCUCUUUUUGAGGGAGUAAUGUGCACUCUUUGAAUGUUCACAAACCUUUCCAACACAUUCCUUGUGCACUUCUUGUAGGGCCCUCUUCUCCUCGGAGAUGAUGUCCUAUGUAUUUGUUUUGCUAUAUAACACAUGCUGGUCUAAGAAUGUAUUGUCAUUGAUUAAUAAUAA
rnacentral:misc_RNA from 1 species